rnacentral:miRNA from 1 species
GAGAGGCUAUAGGCAUCUAGCAUCUGAUGUAUUUUGCCCAGGUAAUCCUAACCAGGUGUUUGCUUCAACAAUAUUGUGUGAGUAAAUUAGGUCAGCAACAGGAUCAUUUCAUUUGACCUUCCCCUCAUUUUAUUGCAAAUAAUUAGUUGUUGCAGGGUCGGUAACCAAGCUACAAGACGGGUCAAAACACAGGUAUGUUAUGUCUAACCUAUAAUCUGGAGCAGGUGGGUUUCACACCUUUGCAUAUAUACUACAGAAGAAACUAUGAAGAGAUAUCAAACACUUUGCCAAAUUUGAUUUUGGGAUUUGUAUUUUUUCCCUGGUGGCACACCAUUUCUUUUAUGCGACGGAAUCUACAUAAAAACAAUUAAUUAGUGUUAGCCUGUGUUCAGAAUUAAUAUAUAGAGCUAAUUUCGC